AGUAAAAGAAGCAAUCAGGAAAGAAGCAUUGCUGUCCAUGGGCAGAACUAUCCCAGGAAGUUAAUCGCGAUAAACACAAGCGCCAAGCAGCGUCCCCUCUGUGCCUCUCCCUGCCUGGAGAUCCGUACUGAAAUCACUGCGGGCAUCUGACUGCUUCACGUAGCCCGGGGAAGUUUUACUGUGGGUCUUCUCAGAGCCAAAACCAGAAAGAAGCACUUCUGAAAAAACCCAACGAAGCUGAAAGAAGCGGUUUUUUGCAGCGGUACCUGCCAGCGAGACUUGUUCCUUUGCCACAAGGGGUGCUGGGCAAAAGCCUCUAUCCCUCAUUAAAUCAAUAAAAUCAAGUGUCCUUUAUUUU
rnacentral:lncRNA from 1 species